rnacentral:rRNA from 1 species
AACGAACGCUGGCGGCAUGCCUAACACAUGCAAGUCGAACGAGACCUUCGGGUCUAGUGGCGCACGGGUGCGUAACGCGUGGGAACCUGCCCUUAGGUUCGGAAUAACUCCCCGAAAGGGGUGCUAAUACCGGAUAAUGUCUUCGGACCAAAGAUUUAUCGCCUUUGGAUGGGCCCGCGUUGGAUUAGCUAGUUGGUAGGGUAAAAGCCUACCAAGGCGACGAUCCAUAGCUGGUCGGAGAGGAUGAUCAGCCACACUGGGACUGAGACACGGCCCAGACUCCUACGGGAGGCAGCAGUGGGGAAUAUUGGACAAUGGGCGAAAGCCUGAUAAAGCAAUGCCGCGUGAGUGAUGAAGGCCUUAGGGUUGUAAAGCUCUUUUACCCGGGAUGAUAAUGACAGUACCGGGAGAAUAAGCUCCGGCUAACUACGUG